rnacentral:lncRNA from 1 species
UGAUCUGAUGUUGUAGUUAUGCGGGGGCUCUUGCAAAGAGAAGAGAAAUUGAGGGAAAAGGGAGAGAGAUGGAAAAACAGAAAAUCCCCUAGCUCUUAAAAAUGUAAGGCAUAAUGGGUCAUCACUUACUAAUUUCUAACUGAGAGACACGAAAUUAUAUUUUUCAGGUCAAUCAGCUUAAUCGGAAGUUCCUUGUUAAUAACCAAGUUAAAUAUCUGAUAGACAACUUGAUUAGCACUAAUAGAAGUUUAGUGCUUCAUCAAUAAUUACGCUGGAAGAAUUUUCUGAGAACUAGAAUGAGAGGAAACACAGCCAAAAUCAGGUCAGAUAUUAAAGUACUACAGUUUUGAUAAGUUAUCCUUCUUUUGCAAAAUAACUCAUUUAGUGUCAUGAAUAAGGUAGCCUCUUUUUGGUUAAACUUUGCUCGCUCUUGUUGAUAACAUUGUACGUUAUAUUCUUCUCUUAACCAAAUACUUUUUUAAUUUAUUUGUGGUUCUUCUGCUUUACUCCUUUAAGUAUCUUCUUCCUACACUCUCACUUCCUCAGUUGUUAUCGAAUUUAGUUCUGCUGUAAAGGGCCACAAUCAUGCAAUGCAUAAAUUAAAUGGAUCAACUAACUUUGCAAUUGCACAAUAAAAAUCAUAAAAUGCAUGCAUAUGUGAAGUUGAUGGAAAGUUCAUUAGAGAACCAAGAAGGUCUUAAAGAAUUAGUUAUUAUAAUGAUGUGAAAGUAAUUAAGCAAGAUCACAUAAGAUGCUUCAGGUGAAAAGCAGCAAUUAUGCUUCAUCUUCAUAUCAGAAUCAUGUUGCUGCAGGUCAAAAAGCUGGGAUUAAUAUUGAGUGUUUUCCUAUGCAGAAGUUCUUUCAGAGGUCUUUGCAUAUCUAUUUUAAUAUGCUGAGCCACAUUAAGGGAAACUAAUAUUUUUGGAUUGUUUAUUUAUGGAAGGAAAUAUGACUGCGAGACACCUAGAAACUAAGUAAAGCUAGUAAACAUUAAUGGGAAAAAUCCAGUAAAGAUAUAUAUAUAUAGAACAACAAUUGACUAACUAGAAAAGUAUUAAACAGAUAUCUAGUAUAUACAACCAACCAGAAACUAUGCCUAGAUCCCAGACACCAAUUACAGGAAGAUACACCUGUACUUAGGAAAUAUGGUGAUUUUAUUCAGAGUUUAUUAUUUCCUAUUGAACAAGAAAUAACAGAGGAAAAAGAAGUUAUGGAAUUAGGAGUGGACUUUCAUGGUAAGAAGCACAUGCCCACAAACUAUGUUCCCUCACAUGUGAUGUUUUAUAAAUUUUAACUACUGCAUGCAAGAUGUGGAGUAAUUAAAUUUACAGUUCACAGAACCCCUUUUCAACUGGGUAGACUUGAUAAUGCAUAAUCUCCAGAAGCCUUUCUUAUGUAAGUGUUUCCAUGCAAAAACUUCUUAUGGAAGAAGUACAAACUUCCAGGUCUAUUAUUUCACUAGGAUAAUUUAGUAUACAUCUUUCAGAGGAA